rnacentral:rRNA from 1 species
GACAACGCUGCGCGGUGCCUAACACAUGCAAGUCGAACGGGGUAAAGAGCUUCGGUUUUUACGUUAGUGGCGAACGGGGUGAGUAACGCGUGAGGAACCUGCCUUUCAGUGGGGGACAACAGUUGGAAACGACUGCUAAUACCGCAUAAUGCAUUUAGGGGGCAUCCCCUGAAUGCCAAAGCUUUAUGUGCUGAAAGAUGGUCUCGCGUCUGAUUAGCUAGUUGGUGGGGUAACGGCCCACCAAGGCGACGAUCAGUAGCCGACCUGAGAGGGUGACCGGCACAUUGGGACUGAGACACGGCCCAA